AAGAGGCGGAACAUUUUCAUUGAAGACGAAAUUGGGUCCCACUCUUUCUUUUCAUUAUUUUACCAAAAACCAACCCCAUCAAUUCAUUUCAUCUCUUUCUUCAUUUCCUUCUCUUCUCUCUUUCUCUCCUUCCUUUCCUUUCCUUUUCUCCAUCUAACCCUAACCCAAAUCCAAACGCAAACCCACUUCUCUCCCAACUUUCCCAAACCACCUAUCCUCCUUUCAACAUACAUAAACUCCGAUAAACGAAGAUCCAAAGUUAAUCAACGGUGUAUGUUUUUAUUCUGUAUUUGCUUCAAGUUUGAGCUUCAAAAAUCAUGGUGGGUUGAUUAAUUAUUUAAUUUUAUCCCAUAUUUAUUUAUAUUUAUUUAUAUAUAUUAUCUCCUACUUUGAUUCAAUAAACAAAGAAAAAACACCCUUCUAAAAGCUGAAACAAAGUACCAAUUGCUAGCUAACUAAGCCAGCAAAAAGCUACAAAUUCCUCAAAAAAGUCUUCUCUUUCGUUCCUUAAUUACCUUAUUCUGUACUUCCACUAACCUCCACUAUGUUUUUCCUUCAAUCCAACUAAAACCGUUUAUCUCUAUUUCUGGGUAUUCUUUUCUUGAUCUAAAAAACAGCUUAUUAAUUAAGUUAUGGAUCCAAUAACAGCUUCCGCCCAUGGCCAUUCAUUACCACCACCUUUUCAUCUUCACCCACAUCAAUUUCACCAACUUCAGCCGCAGAAUAACUCCGAAUCCGAUCAUUCCCCCCGUCUUGGGGUCGGAAAACGAGAGCGGGACGAUGAUACAACCAGCACCACCGACAAUCAGGACUCUAAAGAUGGUAGCGGAGACCACACAAAUAUGAUUACACGACGACCUAGAGGAAGACCGGCCGGUUCAAAAAAUAAACCCAAACCGCCUAUUAUUAUUACCCGUGACAGCGCUAACGCGCUUCGAACCCAGGUUAUGGAAGUUUCCGAUGGUUGCGAUAUCAUGGAGAGUGUCGCAACCUUCGCUCGCCUCCGUCAACGUGGGGUUUGUAUUUUAAGUGGGACCGGGACUGUUGCUAAUGUUACUAUACGACAGCCUGGGUCUACACCUACUGGAAAUGGUGGGCCCCCUGCUGUUGUGACUCUUCAUGGAAGGUUUGAGAUCUUGUCUUUAGCUGGGUCGUUUUUACCACCGCCUGCUCCGCCUGCUGCGACGGGGCUUAGCAUAUAUUUGGCUGGUGGGCAAGGGCAAGUGGUGGGGGGGAGUGUAGUUGGGCAAUUAUUGGCGUCGGGUCCGGUGGUUAUAAUGGCGGCUUCGUUUAGUAAUGCUGCUUAUGAAAGGUUGCCGUUAGAGGAUGAUCAAGAAGGAGGCGGAGGAAUGGGAGGGGGGAUGCAAGGGGGUGGUCCGAUGGGUGGUGGGUUGGAACAUCAAGCUGGUAUGAAUAAUCAACAAGCUCAACAAUUACUUGGGAAUGAUCCUAAUGGUGGUGGUAUGUAUCAAGGGAUGCCUCCUAAUUUGCUUAACUCCGUCCAAAUGCCUCCGGACGGGUAUUGGGGAUCGACUGGUCGACCCCCAUUUUAAGAGUUGAUCUUGUAUGGAUUUAUUGCACGCUAAAAUACCAGUAAUGUGACAACUUAAUGGAAAGAGCUAGGAAUGUGCUAAGGUGCAAUACAAUGAAUCAAGUAAAAGAAAGGUCGUCUCAUCGAGGGAUGAUCUCUAACAAGAGUAGCUCUUUAAGGAAUGUACAGAUAAACGCCUAAUAUUAAUAGAGGAUAACCUUAAAACACAAUUAGAAAGACCUAAUGACAAAUAUAAAAAUAAAAUAUUGCCCAAAAUAAAAUACGUUGUAAUAUUCACAAUUUCAUUGAAUUUCUUCAUAGGAUAACAACAUUGACAAAAAAAAAUGCCUCACAAAUACAAUGGUGAUAACAACAUUCACAAAAUAAUUAUUUCAUUAAGCAAUAUUAUUUUUAUUUAUUUUUUUGCAAGGGUCAAUUGAAACAAACUUUAUGUUACAAUGAAUAAUAUUGUGUAUAUCGGACCUCAAAUCCUGCCUAACUAAUAGCAUUGAGGCAAUGAAAUGUUAUUGUCGUUUCAUACAACAAAAAUCAUAAAGCUUUAGAAAUGUUAACUUGAAAUUUUUUCGAUUCCCCCAAAUCUGAACAAUUAAUCAGACUUUAUAUUUUAUUUAUCUCAAGAAUUAUCAUUUAUUUCUUUCAUUUUUUUCCAUUUAAUUUGAUAAUCAAACUCAUAUAUACUCAUAUAUAUAUAUAUAUAUAUAUAUGAAUUAUAGGACAAACAUGUAAGGAUGGAGAUAAAGCUGCAAAACCUUAAUGCGAUAUGGUGAAUGGAAACUUUGCCAUUGUUGAAUGAGGGCAUCAAGUAAUUAAAAUCAAAAUGAUGACUUUGUAGAGAAAUUGUAUAUUAGAAAUAAUCUGGAAAAUUCAGGGAUAAAGGGAGGUAAGGAAGACCCUGAAAAUUUUUAGCAAAUUGGUGAAUGAGAAAUUUCAUUAAUUGAAAUACAAUUAAAAUUUGUGAUUAAAAAAAAUAAUGAUGAUUGGUCUAUUAAGCUGUCAAAAAUAAACUAUAGGUGAUUUUUGAAGAGAAAAAAAACACGUGUAUAUGAAUUUAUUUUGUGACAACUGUUUUUACGAUUGAGGAAAAAAAACAAUUGGAGGUUAUUAAUAAAAUAUAUAAUAUUAAUAUUUUAUGAAAUAACCUUAGAUCCCCCUAUGAGUAUCUAUCACAUAUAUAUUCUUUCUUAAAUGAGACAGUCUUACGAUUAGAUCAAUUAUAUUUGUGUAGUCUAAUAUACAAAUAUAGCAUAUUUUUAAAUGAUUACUUAAGAUUUUAAAUUUCUCAUUUUUAACACCCCCCAAGACCCUGACUUUGUAUGGGACAUUAUAGACCCUGACUUUGUAUGAGACAUUAGACUGCUGAUAUGAGCAUAAUUAUUUUUUAUAAUUAUUUUUUAUAGUCUUUAGUAAUUGAUUACAAUAUUAAAGUGAUUUUUUAGGACUUGCCAUGAGUCAAAUAUGGGAUACGGUCUUAUUUGGGUAACUAUGGGUUUGGCUUGGUAACUUUCAUUAAGUUAUUAACAGAAAGGAGAGUAA